GGCAGGACUUGGAAGAAGGCCAUUCAUUCUGUUGACUCCAGAUCCUUCCCUUCAGGAAUUUUCAAGUGAAGACAGUAAAUGUUGUGCUGCAUUUGGAGAAGUUUUAGGUUGCUGACCUAAAGAGAAGAUUUCCAUGUGCACUGAGAUUCAGGACAGAAGAGACUUGCAGCAACCUUCUGAGAAUCUGCAGCUCCUGCACAGAAAAAGCUGCAAAGGCAAGCAGGGAUCGGACCCAGCCAAACUUCCCAGAGACAACAGUGACAGGCUUUUCUAUCUAACGGCCCUAAAACUCCAGGAAAGAGAUAUCUUUGUAAAUCCCUCACCGUGUUAUCAAAAAUCAACAUUUCUCAACCCUGUGAAGACACAGAUGUGCCAGAAAUACUGAAUGGACCAGAAAAGCCAGAGCAGGCACCAGCCAGCCUGCAGUGGUUUUUGACCAUUUUUAAACAGAUUGGUAAAUUUAUUAAUUUAUUCAACUACUGGAUUAAAGCUAGGUGCAGUCAGGAGUCCCUGAGACUAUAUGCGUGUGUAUUCCUAUUCUUAUUCUUCCUUGGUGCUCCCUAAGCUAAACAAUCAGACCUACACUGUGUCCUUCAAAAAACACUGUUAACCUGAAAUAGAAACUCCAAAGCAGCGGAUUAGAAACUUCAAAGCAAUCCCUCAUUUUCUUUUUUUUUUUUCUCCCCUGUAUUCAGGUAUCCCUUUGGGAUUUAGUUGUCAUUGUGUAUUAGCCGUAAUAAAAUUCAUA